rnacentral:misc_RNA from 1 species
AUUGCUGGAAGAAAAACCUUGCCUGAUUCAAAUGUGAAACAUCAAUUGAAUUACAUGCUAACCAAUUAAAAUCAACUUUGCUUAAAGCGAAAAACUUUGGUAGUAUUCAAUUGCGGCAUAUUUCCAUUUUAUCAUCAAACAUCCAGAAACCUCAAAUUUUCUAGGAGUAGGAAACGUUGAAAGAGUUUUUCUGCUAUACAUCACCUCAUCUUCGCUAAAUCUACCAGCACUGCAUAUCCUUGCAAAGAGUUCACCACCAGCUGCAUAUUCCAUGACAAUUGCUAAAUGUGUCGGAGUCAACAAGACCUCUUUGAACCGAACAAUAUUUGGAUGCCUUAAAGAUCUGUGAUUGAUGAUUUCUCUCUGCACAUUCUCAUCAAUCUUUUUCCCCCUCUCUAUGUACUUUACAGCAACAAGCUCCUUUGUCUUCUUAUCCCUCACUAGCCUUGCCACUCCAAAAUUACCAGAACCAAGAUCCUUAAUUGGCUCAUAUCUCUCCUCCAUGUUUUGCCACACAAAGACAAAACGGAAAGGAAAAGAAAAGAAAAUGCUAAAGCAGACCAACAAAUCGCCAACAGCGAAAAAAGAAAAUAAAUCAAA